rnacentral:rRNA from 1 species
AUUGAACGCUGGCGGCAUGCCUUACACAUGCAAGUCGAACGGCAGCACGGGUGCUUGCACCUGGUGGCGAGUGGCGAACGGGUGAGUAAUAUAUCGGAACGUACCUUAUUGUGGGGGAUAACGCAGCGAAAGCUGUGCUAAUACCAUAUAAUCCCUAAGGGGGAAAGCGGGGGACCGUAAGGCCUCGCGCAAUUAGAGCGGCCGAUACCUGAUUAGCUAGUUGGUGAGGUAAAGGCUCACCAAGGCAACGAUCAGUAGCUGGUCUGAGAGGACGAUCAGCCACACUGGGACUGAGACACGGCCCAGACUCCUACGGGAGGCAGCAGUGGGGAAUUUUGGACAAUGGGGGCAACCCUGAUCCAGCAAUGCCGCGUGAGUGAAGAAGGCCUUCGGGUUGUAAAGCUCUUUUGUCAGGGAAGAAACAGCAGCUCUAACACAGUUUGCGAAUGACGGUACCCGAAGAAUAAGCACCGGCUAACUACGUGCCAGCCGCCGCCGUAA